CAAUGCGUUUUUGCAGUGCAGCAAUGCAUUUUGUUUCUACACUAUGUUUACCAUUUUUAAAGCUAUUAUUAUAUUAUAUUAUAUUAUAUAGAUCCUAUAUUCUAAUUCUAUUUAGGCCUACUAUCAACUUAAUAUGUUAUCAAGUGUCAGGACAAGUUUAUAAUUUUAUGUACUAUGUAAACGCUGUGUAAUGUGUUUGAUGGGCGCGCGCGUUGAACAUUCGACGCGCAUUUAAACUGUGGAGGGAGUUACCAUGGAAACGGGGCGGCAGCUCAGCUGAGAAGUAGCAAAUCUCUCCGUCUCUCACUGUUGUUUUUACUGCUUUCAGAAAUGGUUCAGUGUCAUGGGAAUAAGUCCGUUAGCAUCACAACCGUGAGCUAACAGAGGCUAACUAUAAGAGCAGAGUUGGAGUGGACCUCUUGUUGAAGAACUUCUCCAGGCACUAUGAACCAUCUGACUAGCCAUCCUGUUUAACACUGCACUGAGGACACUACAACCAGAGAGGUACAACAUAAUUCAAAAUGAGACACAGAUGAUAAUAAAAAAAGGGCUUUGAAAUGAAAAUUAAUCCUGGUAAGACAGAACCGAGUACUGUGACUGCGCCUCACUUCAAAGUGAAACAGUCUGUAAAGGUCAUCUGCCAUGCCAGAUCGAUGGUGAAGGUGGGAAUUAUAAGUAAGAUUUUCUAAACUUUAAAUGUAGUAAAGUGUUUGUUCAAGUAGACUUUGUUGCUUGUGGAAACCUCACACAAGCCUGAAAGGUGCUUUAAACUUAAAUCUUAUUUUCACUCUUGAAAACUGUUCACCAAAGACUAAAUUUCAGUCCAGCAGAAUUUUCUGCACACUUCACCACCAAGAUCAAAAUGAGCAUUGUGAAUGUAAAAGCUUCACAUUACAUUUAUAACCACCAUUGUUUAUAUUUGAAUUUUAUUAUGCCAGGAAAGUGGACAAUACCGGAUUUUUUGACCAAACAUAUUUAGGGUUCAGAUCGUGCUAUACGUGCUAUACACAUUUUUUUUAAAAAUGGCAUUUAUCAGUUUUUGCAAAUGAACUUUUCACACUUGCCAUACUCCAACAGGGUGAACGCACUGACCAAACAAAACAAAAUUGGUGGCAGUGUGAAAUGACCAUAAUGCUGUAUGUUAGGUGUGAGAUUCAUUAAACCCGGUUUGCUAUAAUACAUCUAUUCAGAAGUGCACCAGUGUGAACCAUAAUUUCCCCCACAUUUGCUGUGUAUCCAUAAAGUCAUAUCUAUUGCCGCGUUUCCACCGAAAUUACCCGGAACAAUUGUACCAGGAACUUUUUUGCCCAGGAACUAUUUUUCCCCAACAGACCUGUUGCUUUCAGCGUUUCCACCGCGGUCUAAAGUACCGUGAAGAUUAGGCAAAUAGUCUGGUGACGUAAGCCUGCGCGUGUUUCUCAAUACAGAGUACGCAUAUUUCGGACUUGCAUCCUCGGUAGUUCGGACUUUGCAAGUUCGACUCGGGAGUGUGAUCUCCCGCGGACAAAACAACGCAAGUCUGGUAAUUCUGCAAACAACAGCGUACUUAACAUCAGUCAGCUCGCCUUGGCUACUGCAAUUUUCCUCACUGUAUAUUUACAAUAAGACGAAAAGGGCUAUGAUAUCAAAUACCACUGCCUCCUUUUGUUUUCAUUUAAACAUAAUAAUAAUAGCCGCAGAAAUGUACUUCGUUCAGGGAAAUGUGUAUAUAUACAGCCUACAAUACAAUGAAAUGAAAUAUUAUAUCAAUUUCCUUUUUAUUUUCAUUUUAAAGGGUUAGUUCAUCUAAAAAUGUAAAUUAUGUCAUUAAUGACUCGUUCCAUGUUGUUCCAAACCCAUAAGACCUCAGUUCAUCUUCGGAACACAGUUUAAGAGAUUUUAGAUUUAGUCCGAGAGCUUUCUGACCCUCCA
ensembl:lncRNA